AUUGUUCAUUCUAUGACGUAUCCAGCAGCUUGCAGCAUGCUGCUUGAGCAGCUGUAACUGUGGUAAAUUAAUUUUGUAGAUGUUUUGAAGCAACAUAUAACAAAUAAAACAAAAACUAAUCUGCUCUUAAUUAGAACAACAAACUUUCCCAACAGAACAGGAAUAUGAAGUCAUUUAACUGUAUCACAAAAUGUCUUUAUUUUAAAGAUAGUUGGUUUCUUCUCUCUUUAUUAUCUAAUUCCUCAUGCUUCCUAUAAACUGGGCAAUAGCCAAAUAAAUCAAUAUAAUUUAAAUUCAGUUCAUGUCAUCAAAAAAAUUUAAUAUUGUGUUAAAGUUUAAUAUUUCUUGUUAGUCGUCACAGAAAUUGAAACAGUUAUUUAACAGAAGGGUUACACACAAUAAAAUAUUUGAAGCUUCUAUUUUUUGCUGUUUUAAUGAUUAUGGCUUACAUGUAAAAUAAACUCCUCAAAAUUCAGUGUCUCAGAAAAUUAGAAUAUAACAUUAAAUUAGACCAACCAAAGUGGAUGUUUAAAGCAUAAAUGUCAGGCUUCUGAAAAGUAUGUCCAUCUCUAUUCAUCAAUACUUGAGUAGGCUUCUCUCAUGAAUUACUGCAUCAAUAUGCUGUGAUAAUCAAAUUCAAAAAUACUUUAUUGAUCCAAAAGGGAAAUUAAAUAUUGCUGUAAAUCAUGUUAAUUCAAAUUCAUCAAAGAGUUAUUGUGGAUGGUGAUGGCUGGGAACAAGAAGGGUCUCCUGUAGCAGUUUGUAUUGCAUCAAAUUUGAAGAAGCCUCUGACUGAAGACACUCCGUUAAUCUAAGACAGUCUCAUGAAGAGGAUGAUCAGUGUUGUCCAUAAUUUUCUUGAUUUUAUGGAAAAUCCUUCUUUGCAUUGUCAUCUCCAGAGGUUCCACAGUGGUCCCCAGAACAGAACCAGCCUUCUGUAUCAGGUUGUUAAGCCUUUUUAGGUCCCUGGUUCUGAUGCUGCUGCCCCAACAAAUGACGGCAGAAGAGAAGAUGCUCUCAACAACAGACUGAUAGAAGAUCUGCAACAUCUUGCUGCAAACCUUGAAGGAUCUUAUCUUCUUCAACAUGUCCAGUCUGCUCUGACCCUUCUUAUAGAUACUUCACUCCAGUCCAGUCUGUUGUCCAAAUGAACACCAAGAUGGGAUGAUUGUUUCCACCCCAUGACACAAAGCGGUCGACCAGAUCUCUGUACUCUGCUUCUUAUCCAUCUCUGAUACACCAGACAGCUGCAGAGUCAUCUGAGUAUUUCUGGAGAUGAGAGAAGUCUGAAGUGUACGGAGUUAAAGGAAUGGUAAGAGUACAGCGCCCUUUGGUGCUCCUGUGCUACUGAUCACCUGGCUAGACACACAGUCCUUCAGUCUCACUAACUGUGGUCUGUUUGUCAGGUAGUCAUAGAUCUAGUCAUAGAUCUUUUGGUGACUGCUCUGCUGUCUUUUGAACUGACAAAACAGUUCAGACUGAAUUAUGUUAAAUACACUGGAGAAAUCAAAGAAGAUGAUCCUCAUAGUGCUGCCUGCUUUGUCCAGAUGACAGUGGAUUUAUGAAGCUUCAUGAAACUCUGACGCAGCGUUUCAUGAAGCAGUGCUUGGCCCACUCUGGAAGGCCAACAGGAGUCUUUCCAGGACCUUCAUGAUGUGGAAUGACAAAGACGCAGUCAGCCUGUAACAAUGCUUAGGUGUAAUGAAAGCCUAUAUUGCUUUGAUAACUGCCUUUAGGUCAUCUUCCUUGUUGGGUCUUGUCCACAUUCCAGAGGUUUUCUGUGGAGUUAAAGGUCAAGAAGGAACUUUUGGUACAUUGACAUCAGCAUCUCCAUACAGCUUGUCAGCUGAGGGUAACACAAUGAGAAGAUAAUUGAGCAUCAGCCCAGUUCCUCUGACCUUGUCUCUGGUUUAGGAGUGGCUAUUCGUCUGUGUGUGGCUCUACUGGAAUGGAUUUCACUUGACAAUCUUCCCACAGCUGCAGUUUUCCCUGUUGCUGCUGCAUCUUUUUCUACCACGCUGCUUCCUUCCACUCAAUUUCUCAAUUUUCUGAUAAUCUGCUUGGAUAUACAGUACAGACCAAAAGUUUGGACACACCUUCUCAUUGAAUUCAAUAAGAAAGUGUGUCCAAACCUGUACUGUCUGUACAGUCUGUACAGACAGUACAGACUGUCUGUACAGACUCAGAACAAUCACAUUCUUCAUUGCGCCUCACCACCUUGUGAAGGUGUCCAUGAUUGUCUGCUGUCCAGCAGUGUUCCCCACGGUUGUAGCUGACUGAGCCAGAGAGAGAAACCAAUUAAAGGGUCAGAAAUGCUUGUAGGUACUUAGCUGACUAGGUUGUGACACAAUGAGUUUCCAAUAUUUCACUAGUCACAUUUUUAAGAGAUACUGAAUUUGUUUUUGUUAUCUGUAAGCCAUAAUUACCAAUAUUUCAAUAAAUAAAGGCUUGAAAUAUGUCAA